GGGAUAGCUCAGUCAAUAGAGCGUGAGACUCUUAAUUUCAGGGUUGUGGGUUCAAGCCCCAUGUUGAGCCA
rnacentral:tRNA from 1 species